AGAGUUUUAAGUUAUGUUUUAGACUGUAGUAUUUCAAGUACUAAAGAGGUGAUUUUUUCCAUACUCUG
rnacentral:tRNA from 1 species